AGAUUAACUCGACUUGGAGUGCCAUGGCCGAUGGAACGACUAGAGCAAAGCACAUGAAGAUGCAGCUCAUUGGUGCGUGUUACUCCGCUGGUGAGCAUCAAAGAAAAUCAUGAAGAUUUUUCAUAGGUGCUUCCAUUGAUCAGAAGCAUCUACGGAUCCAUGAACAUGCCCUCCUUUCUUUCAAUCAUGGUGUAAAAUAUGUGAUCGGUUAUUGCAACAAGAACGCAUGUUGCUGGUGCAUCCGUUACAAGGUGUGAGGCAAGUAAUUCAUGUGAAGGUUCCAACACAUUCUGCAGUUUGAGGGGCCACAUGUGCAUUGCAUCGGA